rnacentral:lncRNA from 1 species
AAUUCCUGGGCUCAAACAAUCCUCAUGCCUCAGCCUCCGAAACUGCUGGGAUUACAGGCAUGAGCCCCGAUGCUUGGCCAAUUUUCUUGUUCUGUAAAGCUGCACUGCUUAAGCACAAGGCCAAAAUGAGGUCUCUCACCACUUCUGCCUGAACUAAACUUACCCAGUGAAUGCUGGGCUGGGCAGUCCAGUCUUCCCCACAUGUGGUAAUGUUCUGCUCUCAGUCAUGUUCUAACCACAAGGCAGCAAACACUGGCGCAGCUGAGCCCGAGGCUGGGGCUGCAGUCUGAACUUUUACAUUACUCAGUUAAUUACAAAGCCAGUCAAAUCACCCCAAAGAUCCACACACCCAAGAGUGCUGGAUAAGAAAAAAAUCCUGCAUAUCAAACCCCUUCUGGGGGAGAGACCAGGGAGAGCGUGGAAGAGAAGAGGUCUGGGGUAUGCAGUGGCUGGUGGCCUAGAGCAAUUCUAACCCAGGAGGCCUCAACAGGGAGCCUGCACCUGAAUGUUGGAAGAAGCAGGGUUUCCGUCAGUCUGUGUUGGCUUUAAAGGAACCAUCCUUCAUGCCCAAAGGAGGCAAGUGUUUGGCAGCUUUUCCAGAUGGCAUGUCUUGCAGUCGUUGAAAAUUUUUUAAAGUGUAAUUCUUGAUAGUGUAUCUCCAAGACAGAGAGACAAGCCCCUAGUCACCCUUCUGAACACCAUAAAGUUUAUUAUAAAGGACUUACAAAGGACAAAGACGAAGAGACACAUAGGGCAAGGUACCAGGGAAGGGGCACAGAGCUUCCAUGCCCUCCCUGGGCGCAUCACUCUACAGGAACCUCCCUGUGUUCAGCUAUCCAGAAGCUCUCCAAACUCCAUCCUCUUGGGCUUUAAUGGAAGCUUCGCAAGGUCAGCAUUCCUUCCCCCAGGGUAUGCGGUGGGGCCCUCUCUGGAGAACCCCAGUUAAUUUUUAAAUAUUAAAAUAAAAAUGCUGGCCAGGCACAGUGACUCACACCUGUAAUCCCAGCACUUUAGGAGGCUGAGGCAGGGGGAUCACUUGAAGUCAGGAAUUCAAGACCAGUCUGACCAGCACGGUGAAACCCCAUCUCUACUAAAAAUACAAAAUUUAGCCAGCUGUGGUGGUGCGUGCCUGUAAUCCCAGCUGCUUGGGAGGCUGAGGCAGGAGAGUCAUCUGAAUCCUGGAGACAGAUGUUGCAGUGAGCUGAGAUUGCACCACUGCACUUCAUCCAGCCUGGGGUGACAGAACGAGACUCCGUUUCAAAAAAAUAAAAGAAUGAAAAUGCUAUGUGGAACAAAAAUUGUAUUCAUUUUUGAAACAAGUUUGUUUAAAUGAAAUGAAAUCCCAAGCAAACAACAAAGCUGUUUCUGAGGAGUGAAAGACCUUUUUUGCUUAAUUCUUCCCAUAGGAGAAAAUUCUUUGAAAUAUUUUCUUGCAAUUCGAUAAAAAUGGAAAGACCCAGCAUGUAGGUAGGGCUGCUUGAUUAUUGCAAUGGAGGGAGGGAAGAUGGGGAAGCACAUGCAGCCCUUCUGUGCACCAGGCUCCAGGUGUGAGGACUCUCAUAGCACCAUUUGUGCAACGACGGAUUCGGCCUACUGACAAGGUUUUGAGGAUUUCCCUACUCUGCUAUGUGGAAAUGGAGACACUCAACAUCUCCUUAUAAAAUAUCUUGUGCCAGCCCUCAAGAUACAUGAAGCUGUGGGCCCUCAGAAACAUCUGGCUCAGCAGAAAUGACUGCAGGGUCUGCCUCUGAAGCCCAGCGUUUCUACUCCAUUUGGGAUAUUCCACACAGGAAGAGAAUUGGAAAUGCUGGAGAAGCUCUGGAAGCCCACAGAGAACAGAUGCAUAAACACCAUUUACCAGACACAGCUCAGCAAACCCUCUCUCUCUUCCUUCCAGCAGCUUGGUUGUCCUCAAGGAGUUCCUAAAUUUCAUACUUCUGAGGGUUAUAUGGGAUGGUGAGGGGUGGAGGAGAGUAGCACGGAUUGAAAAAUACAUUAAUGUUGGCUGGGCACAGUGGCUCACACCUGUAAUCCCAGCGCUUUGGGAGGCCGAGGCUGGUAGAUCACCUGAGGUCAGGAGUUUGAGACCAGCCUGGCCAACAUGGCGAAACCCCAUCUCUACUAAAAAUACAAAAUUUAGCUGGGUGUGAUGGCACAUGCUUGUAAUCCCAGCUACUCAGGAGGCUGAGGCAGGAGAAUCGCUUGAACCCAGGAAGCGGAGGUUGCAGUGAGCUGAGAUUGCAGCAUUGCACUCCAGCCUGGGCAACAAGAGAGAUGCUCCAUCUUAAAAAAAAAAAGAAAAAUACAUUAAAGUGUACCAAAAUAAAUAUAUGACAGCUUUUAAAUUAUUUUCCAUGGGAAAAAAACUUAUAAUUAGUGACAAUUACUUACUGAGGGCCUGCUGGGCUAGACAUUAUGGACAUUGUGAAAGAUAAAAAGUUCAAGACACAGACUCUGUUUUCAGGAUGUGUACGCUUUAAAUAUGAAGUUAACACAGGGCAGAAAAGUAGAUACACACAUGCACACACAUACCUAUACACACAUACCUACACACACACACACACACACACACACACACAAAUACUCCUCAGACCCAAAGGACGGAGACAUCACAAUGAACAAGAUGAACAAUUGGUAGGAUUUUAAAAGACUAUUUUCUUUUUCAGCAAGGAGGAUGGAGUGGGCAGGUAGGGGAUGGUAUUUAUUUCCCAAGCAAAUCAAUUAGAAAAAAUAUUUGUAUUUCAGUAAAUUUAUUUUUUUCAAUCUUCAGAUAUAAGAAGGCUUUUCCAUGAAAAACACUCUAUUUA